rnacentral:rRNA from 1 species
AUGCUGGAGGUAUCAGAAGUGCGAAUGCUGACAUAAGUAACGAUAAAGCGGGUGAAAAGCCCGCUCGCCGGAAGACCAAGGGUUCCUGUCCAACGUUAAUCGGGGCAGGGUGAGUCGACCCCUAAGGCGAGGCCGAAAGGCGUAGUCGAUGGGAAACAGGUUAAUAUUCCUGUACUUGGUGUUACUGCGAAGGGGGGACGGAGAAGGCUAUGUUGGCCGGGCGACGGUUGUCCCGGUUUAAGCGUGUAGGCUGGUUUUCCAGGCAAAUCCGGAAAAUCAAGGCUGAGGCGUGAUGACGAGGCACUACGGUGCUGAAGCAACAAAUGCCCUGCUUCCAGGAAAAGCCUCUAAGCAUCAGGUAACAUCAAAUCGUACCCCAAACCGACACAGGUGGUCAGGUAGAGAAUACCAAGGCGCUUGAGAGAACUCGGGUGAAGGAACUAGGCAAAAUGGUGCCGUAACUUCGGGAGAAGGCACGCUGAUAUGUAGGUGAAGUCCCUCGCGGAUGGAGCUGAAAUCAGUCGAAGAUACCAGCUGGCUGCAACUGUUUAUUAAAAACACAGCACUGUGCAAACACGAAAGUGGACGUAUACGGUGUGACGCCUGCCCGGUGCCGGAAGGUUAAUUGAUGGGGUCAGCGCAAGCGAAGCUCUUGAUCGAAGCCCCGGUAAACGGCGGCCGUAACUAUAACGGUCCUAAGGUAGCGAAAUUCCUUGUCGGGUAAGUUCCGACCUGCACGAAUGGCGUAAUGAUGGCCAGGCUGUCUCCACCCGAGACUCAGUGAAAUUGAACUCGCUGUGAAGAUGCAGUGUACCCGCGGCAAGACGGAAAGACCCCGUGAACCUUUACUAUAGCUUGACACUGAACAUUGAGCCUUGAUGUGUAGGAUAGGUGGGAGGCUUUGAAGUGUGGACGCCAGUCUGCAUGGAGCCGACCUUGAAAUACCACCCUUUAAUGUUUGAUGUUCUAACGUUGACCCGUGAUCCGGGUUGCGGACAGUGUCUGGUGGGUAGUUUGACUGGGGCGGUCUCCUCCUAAAGAGUAACGGAGGAGCACGAAGGUUGGCUAAUCCUGGUCGGACAUCAGGAGGUUAGUGCAAUGGCAUAAGCCAGCUUGACUGCGAGCGUGACGGCGCGAGCAGGUGCGAAAGCAGGUCAUAGUGAUCCGGUGGUUCUGAAUGGAAGGGCCAUCGCUCAACGGAUAAAAGGUACUCCGGGGAUAACAGGCUGAUACCGCCCAAGAGUUCAUAUCGACGGCGGUGUUUGGCACCUCGAUGUCGGCUCAUCACAUCCUGGGGCUGAAGUAGGUCCCAAGGGUAUGGCUGUUCGCCAUUUAAAGUGGUACGCGAGCUGGGUUUAGAACGUCGUGAGACAGUUCGGUCCCUAUCUGCCGUGGGCGCUGGAGAACUGAGGGGGGCUGCUCCUAGUACGAGAGGACCGGAGUGGACGCAUCACUGGUGUUCGGGUUGUCAUGCCAAUGGCACUGCCCGGUAGCUAAAUGCGGAAGAGAUAAGUGCUGAAAGCAUCUAAGCACGAAACUUGCCCCGAGAUGAGUUCUCCCUGAC